UCCUCAGUUCUUCAGAUCUGAGAUACGGAGCACACGUGGUGAGUUCAUCUAAAAAGCCUGCACACGGCAUGUCCCUCGGGGAGGUAUCGUCAGCCUAACUACAGCUACAGCCAUGGUCCCCUAAUGGCAGUUGACUCUCUGCAUCCCUCCUGGACCAAAGCCAACUAAUUCCUUCCAAGAGGAAAUCUGGGUGCAGCUGAUGGCAUGUUCUCUCCAGGGAGCAGUACAGCCAAAUACUGUAACGCAAGUCACAUCGAGUCUGUGUCUCUGCGUCCAGGACAGUCUUCCGGUACUAUUCUGAUGUGACGUUUUGAAAUUCCUUCUCUUCUUCAAAGGAGAAUGUUCCUUGGAAGUUCCAGCCUGCGGAAAGCAGAAACUGCCACACCACAGCCAAGGCUGGUGAAAUCUUCCCAGAGUGAGGGAGCAGGAUUCUCCAGUUUGCUCCUGGAAGCACAGCCUCGCACCAGUUUUUGCUGUCUACCGGCAUUGUGAUCAGCACUGACACCUGAAAGAUACGGCAUUGAGAAACAAGUAUGUUAUUCUAAGGUGGAGGUCCUUUUGAAUGACACCGUGUAGUACCACCGGAGACUUGCCUCUCCCAUGAAGUGGUCUUCCCAGCACCCCGGCGUAGAGGUGUAACGGCAGAAAGCGCGUAGCACAACCCAAGUCAGGCACGUAUUUUCUGAUGCAAAUAUAAAUGGAAGAAAUCAUCCGUUUCCAGCAGCCGUGCAUAUAUCGGGGAAGGUGUCCUAAGACCGAGCUGAAUUUUAGAUGUUUGUGGGACGUUAGGUGUGCACUGCUGGAUCACACUUUCUGAGCGAGGAGUCCUGGAGGUGACGCGCAGUGGAGGCGCGUGGCCGGCUGCAGCUGGUCCCCGUGCUCGUGGAGAGCAGAGGCCGUGCCAGGCACCGCAGCGCAACGGGCCGCUCAUCCCGCGCCUUCGUGCCUCGGCCCCAGCCCACAAGGUUUCUGACGAGAGCCGAGCCAGAAAUGAAACCUGGAACCUGUUGCUGCUAAUCAAGUCAUGAUGGAAAGAGAAACCUACUGCAGCUGCCAGAUGUCCGUGAUCUCCAUCAAAAGUAGAAUGCAACCAAAAGAAGAAACAGUGAGCUCUACAAUGAGGAAAAUGAAUCCAGCAGUCCAUCCUAGCAAGCCCGCCGGAGUACAGGAGGAGACCUCAUACGAAGCCAGAAUGUGUUUUUUAGCUUGCAGUUCUUUUAAACCAUGUUAAAUCCUACUCAAAGCUAAUGGUGACCUCAGUGAGUCUGGUCUAAGCAAUGCUGAAGAACGGAAGAACGGAGUUGGAAGGCAGGAGCUGUUUCAGAGGUGCAUUCUUCUUCCUUUCAUAAAGUCCAAACAUGAAGAUUUUUAUAAACUUCAUUAGCUGCAAGAUAAAUACUCAGAAAUAAGAAUUGUGGUUACCUACACUAAAGUUGAGUCGGUGUGUACUUAAUGAAAAUUAGAUGUGAAAUGUAAUACCUGGAGGACAAAGAAGCAUUGAAAUCUAUUGCUCUUAAAGACAAAGAUCCUGCCGUCAAUGACUGAGCCUCCCUGAAAUCUUCUUAUCAGUUACUGCUGAGAUGAGAAGGAUAACAGGAAGGAGGAGUGCCUAAGUGGUUUUAAUGACAGCUAAUUUCAUCUAUUUAUCAAAUGACAGGUUGUUUUUUUUUCCUCAAAACUUGAUUGUCAUGACAAGAUGCUUUUGGAAGUCAUCUUUGUAAAAUAAAACUGACAAUUUUAAGCUACAAAGAGUUAUUGUAAUCUUUCUGUACAAUGUUGUCACUAUGGUAAACCGCUGGAAAGUCUGUAUUUUUUGAAGUAAUUUAACUUGCGUACUUUACUCAUUUGUUUGAAUAUCUGUUGACUGCCUUGUGAGAAGUUUCUUCCCAGAGUUAUUUUAUUCAAUAGAACAGUUAUUCUUACAACACUCAACUUAUUAUUGUCUAAAUUACUGUUGCCUUAGCCUCCCACAAAAAUGUUUCCUUUCAAUAAUUCUAAAACAAAUAAGGAAUGAAUGGGUUUUUGUCCUCUUCCUGUUUUGAUCGUCAUAUUUUUCUCUUUUAGUGAAAGCUUCUUCAGUCUUCAGAAUGACACUAUUACAAAGAAAGGUGCUUUACUUUUUUUGCUUUUUCCAACAGAAAGGGUCUUUUGGUACAGUGAUUUUUGAGUAUGUACAUUGCCAAGACACAAUUACUGGAGGGAGAGACAGAAACUGUUGGGAAUGUCAUGCCAUGCCAAAUUAAGAAUUAUUAGCUCUUACUUUGUGCAGUCUCUUCAACUAGAAUUGGACCUAUUGCAUCUGGCUUAUACUUUGACUCUAGUGGAACUAAUGUGUCCUUGGAAUUGCAUUUUAGAGUAACUUCAGAUUUAUGUUUUCUUCACAAGUCUGCUUUAAACUGCUGGGAUUAGCUUCAGAGAAGGCAAGAGAUACAGCCUCCUCUGUCAGCAGCUGUGCUGGUUAAAGAAGGGGGCUUCAGGUACUCUCUCUCCUGGAGAUUCUUGCCCCUGCUAGGCAAGCAGGCUGAACUGUUUCUGUGAGCACACCCAGACUUACUUCAGGCACUGAUAAUCAUGUUAUCAAAUAUUAGUUAACUGGUAGUUUGUUUUGACAAAAGGGCAGGGAGUACGCAGACCAGCUGCCCAGAUGGCCUAUCUGGGGGGAAGUGUGUUGACAGGAAUUGUGUUGAGGAGCUGAUGGUGACAUAGUCUUUUCAUCAGGUGCAGUUACAUCUCUAAGAGGAUGUGGCCAAAGUUUGAUGUGUUAGAAAGUUAUACAGUUCUGUCAAGUAUAAUUUUCAUGCUUCAGGGACAUACUGGAUAAUAUCAAAUGCACAUGUGUUCCUUUACUUAGUCCUUGUGCUUGACAACAUGAGUGGAGGGAGUUGGUAUGAGUGUGUAUAGGUGACAGAGGACACAGAUGCUUAUUUCAGGAAAGUUUGUAUUUGUGGUCAAGGCGAGUGAAUGGUACAAGUGUUUGUGUACCUAGAGAACAAUCUGUUGUGCUUUACUCAUCAAAGUUUUGACAUACAAUGCCCUGAGCUGCCUUUAGGGUAGAAAAAAACAAAACAAAAUCCAGCCCACAACAGAACACCCCCACUCCCCUGUGGUCUACACUGCUGCUUCUCUGUCUGAUGGUGCUGCUGAUGUUGGCAUCUGGUGAGACAUGCAAGCUUAAGGGCCCUGCUCUUGAUGUUCCCUAUGUCAAAAUUGGAACAGGAUGGACGAUCUCUAGAACUGGAAGGGGCACUAGACGAAAACAGUACGCUAAACAGCUCCUUCAAAAUUGACUCUUCUCACAGGGAGGCUGUCAAACGUAGGUGCUGCCCACAAGCGGUGCUUGAGAAUACGAAGAGCAAGAGGCUUGCCUGGCCCUGAGCGCUACAACUCUGCUUAGGCCUUGUCUUGGGGGACUGCUAGAUGAAAAGAAAUCAGUUCAGUCACCUCCAGUUCAGCAGUAUUGAAUUAGACGUCCUUUAGGUGGUCCUAAGCUAAAGGAGGAGGAAAUGUAUACCUAUCUCAUUAUCUCUCCCUCUAUCUCACCUGCCAUAAGUAAACUGAAUUAGGGAGGAAAAUAACACUACAUCUGGAAAGGAAUACCCCUAAAGUGCUGAUUUGCAAAGAACAGUUUCCCCUGGCUGCUUUGUCCUCAGCUGUACUACCCUACCAUAGCGCCUUCAGACCAGAGCCUGUGCCUGCUCUCCCCUAAGCACCUGGGCCUCAAGAAUUGUGGGAUGAAGAGAUGGGGCAUGGAGAUUCUUAAGACUGAGGCUUACAGAGAAAUUUGGAGAUGCACACAAACUUUAGAAGUCACUAAUACGUUCAAAUUAUAUGCAAGAAGAAGCAGAGAUGAUGUGGCAGUUCAUGCAUAUUGUUUUCCUGCCAAGUUUUGAGUUAACUUAACUUUGUACUGCUAUAUACUAAGAAAAUGUUGGACUUUCCAGUCAGAUUCUUUUACUAGCCUACGCUUGCAGCGUAAUGCUCAGUGUGUGCAUAGUUCAAGGAGGCAGAAUGCCAGCCACAUAGUUUCCAAAAUCCUCAAUUUGUCACUGGUUCAAUCUGUGCAAGUUUAAGGUGAAAUGGGCUGCAGUUUCUGGUUUGAGAGCUGUGCUCUGUAAUGGCAUCCCGCGGUCAAGCCACUGCUGAGCUUCCAGCAGCAUUGCUGAGUUCAGGGUACUGACCACAUGGAAGUGAAGUAUCUCAUCCAAAGGGCUACUUUAACAUCUCCAGCAACCUUUAAUUCAGAGGAGCUGAGCAUCCACAGCUCUAAGGCAGCCCAUAAUUCAUAUAAUCUGAUUAUUUUAAUACAGAUUAUUGUAGAACCCAUGUUAAAAUAGUUACUGAGAUGCUUUUAAUUUCCUAAUAAUUUUUUUUGCCUGCUCAAGUGCCUAUAUAAUAAUACCAUAUAGCUAUAUAUAUAUAUAAAAUACCUUAUAUGUAUAAUACCAUAUAGUUAUAUAUAAUUAAACCAGUAUUGCAAAAUAACUCCUUUCUUAUAUAGGACACUGUCAUGCUAUGUUAUGCCAAUGACUAAAACUUUACUUCUGAGCACUGAAAAUGAUCAAGUACUGUACUUAAGACUGUCAUACUGUUUGUGUAGCACUAAAAAGAAAACAAAAUACAGUUUUGGAGCAGACAGAUUUUUUUUUUCUUAUAAAUACUCCAAAUAAUAUGUUGGUUUCAACUAGACUUCCUGGCUCUACACUGAUUGCUGCAUUCUGUAUGAAUAUAGCAGGAUCCCAAGCAUUUCAUAAUGUACUUACUAUUUUAAGCACGUGAUUUUUAUGUAUUUUCUCCAUAAAUAUGUUGGACAAAACAUAAUUUACCUUCUUAAUUGGUACUGUGUAUUUACUUUCUAGCUCCUUUAACUUUAAUUCAAACUUGGUUGAAUAAAAUAUAGCUCAUUCCUUAAAAUAAUCUUUACAUCUGAAAUAUGACAAUUGAUUUCAUAUGACUGGUUUCAUACUUCAGACAUAGGAAAACAUUUCCGAGGCAUGAUGCGUUGACAACAUAUGGAGAUAAAAAUCGGCUAAUGAUAAACUCUAUGGUGUGAACUUUUAAUAAGAGUAAUGAAUCAUUAAAAAGAGUUAGAAAGGGAAUAGUAGAUUUUCUAUCAUUUGAGGUCUUUGAAUGAAGAUGGAAUGUUUUUAUAGAGGUUUAUGCUUGAACAAAUGGCUGGCUGAGGUACGGGAAUUCCUACCUGGGUCUGUGGUGUUCGUUACCACUAGGGUCAGCCUAGAUUAUCUUGGAGGUCCUGGCUUAGAAGAGAGGAAGGCAUCAGUACCCUAGAUUUAACAAAUAUCUUUGCAGAAGAGCAGCUUCCACUGAAAAGCUAUGAAGUUACUUACAUGUCUCAAAAAAAAAAAAAAAAAAAAAAAAAAAAAAAAGCUGGGGGAUGGUCACUUAACUACUAAUUUGGCAAGUUUCCUGCCUUCUAACAUCAUGUCUUUUCAAAGUUCCUUAUUCACCUGGCUGUUUUGUUUGGAACAUUGUAAUGUUUCAUUGGCUGCAGGUGGGUUUUAUUCAUUCAUCCAUGCAUCCUUUCUUCAACUGUCUAUCUUACAUCACCUGUUUUCAACAAGAGCCUGAGGUCUAUUGGGUAAUUUGAAUGUUUUGCAUUGAAGGGCUUUUGAAAAAUAUUUCUGAUGCUUUUGGUUUGUUUUGUAGUAGUACAGUCUAAGCAUCCAAACUCUGUCAAUGUCGUGCAAAAUAUGUAUUUCCGUAGAAUCUCAACUUGUCUCCAUUUCUCCUGAGUUAAUCAACCAGCAUAUGAAAUUUUUUUCAGAGCAAAUGUCUCUUGUAUAUUUCUACAAAAUGUAAUGUUAUCUUGUUGCUAGAAAUAAUUAUUUGGUUUAAAAUAAUCUGACAGCAACCCGCUGUGCAUAAAUUAGGUUUGUUCUCUAUGAAGAUUAGUUUGCUGGCAUCCAUUCGCAGGCGCAUCACCAAACACAAGUUGGUCGCAUCCGGUUAUUCUUCCUUUUUUCUUUUUAAUGGGCUUUUUGUUGCUGUACUGUCACCAAGGUUGAAAUAAAUGUGUGCAAAUCA